UCUUGAGACCGGCGCACGGGUGCGUAACGCGUAUGCAACCUACCUUUAUCUGGGGGAUAGCCCGGAGAAAUCCGGAUUAAUACCGCAUAAAAUCACAGUAUUGCAUAAUACAAUGAUCAAACAUUUAUGGGAUGAAGAUGGGCAUGCGUGUCAUUAGCUAGUUGGCGGGGUAACGGCCCACCAAGGCGACGAUGACUAGGGGAUCUGAGAGGAUGACCCCCCACACUGGUACUGAGACACGGACCAGACUCCUACGGGAGGCAGCAGUAAGGAAUAUUGGUCAAUGGAGGCAACUCUGAACCAGCCAUGCCGCGUGCAGGAAGACUGCCCUAUGGGUUGUAAACUGCUUUUAUCCGGGAAUAAACCUAUUUACGAGUAAAUAGCUGAAUGUACCGGAAGAAUAAGGAUCGGCUAACUCCGUGCCAGCAGCCGCGGUAAUACGGAGGAUCCAAGCGUUAUCCGGAUUUAUUGGGUUUAAAGGGUGCGUAGGCGGCCCGUUAAGUCAGGGGUGAAAGACGGUAGCUCAACUAUCGCAGUGCCUUUGAUACUGACGGGCUUGAAUGAACUAGAGGUAGGCGGAAUGAGACAAGUAGCGGUGAAAUGCAUAGAUAUGUCUCAGA
rnacentral:rRNA from 1 species